rnacentral:rRNA from 1 species
GAUGAACGCUGGCGGCGUGCUUAACACAUGCAAGUCGAACGAAGCAUUUAUUAUGAAGUUUUCGGAUGGAUUAAUUUAUGACUUAGUGGCGGACGGGUGAGUAACGCGUGGGUAACCUGCCUCAUACAGGGGGAUAACAGUUGGAAACGACUGCUAAGACCGCAUAAGCCUACAGUACCGCAUGGUACAGGAGGAAAAAAUUUAUUGGUAUGAGAUGGACCCGCGUCUGAUUAGCUAGUUGGUAAGGUAACGGCUUACCAAGGCGACGAUCAGUAGCCGACUUGAGAGAGUGAUCGGCCACAUUGGGACUGAGACACGGCCCAAACUCCUACGGGAGGCAGCAGUGGGGAAUAUUGCACAAUGGGGGAAACCCUGAUGCAGCGACGCCGCGUGAGUGAAGAAGUAUUUCGAUAUGUAAAGCUCUAUCAGCAGGGAAGAUAAUGACGGUACCUGACUAAGAAGCCCCGGCUAACUACGUGCCAGCAGCCGCGGUAACAC